UAAAAUUUUGAAUAUUUUUAUUGUAAUGUUGUUCAUGAAGGUCUCUCUCCGUCUGUAACCAAGUUCAAGCCUGAACUCUCUUUCUCUGUGUCUGAAGAUUUGAUCAACGAAACCCUAUAAAUCCAUCCGAUUCCGCACAUGUAGUCUCGCAUCGUAUGCGUCCAAAUGUAAUUAUGGUGGAAAUCUAGCGAAGAAUUUGAAAUCAUGCCGAGAAACAGGUGGAAUCACUGAAGAGGCUUUUUUGACAACUUGUCAGUAUCAUGCUGCAUUUAGUAGCCAAAGGACGUCAUAUCUAGUAGGUUUUCCCAAUGCAGCUGGUGUCAAAUUAUGUUCAAACCGAAGAUGUUUCAGAAACAGAACCCAUUCUUAAUCAAUCUGAAAUUGUAUGCACAUCCAAGGAAUCCUCAUCAUCAUGUGAAAUCAGACUAGUGGUUGGUGAUUGUUCUGCAGCUGGGGACGAUCGGCUGAGUCUUGAUGCUGAUGAACGUAGCAAUCUAGUGAGUGCAGAUCAGCCACAAUGUCGGAUUUGCCUUGAUAAUGGAGGCGAAGAUCUGAUAGCACCCUGCUAUUGCAGAGGAACACAGAAGUAUGUUCACCGAUCAUGUCUUGAUCAUUGGAGAUCAACAAAGGAGGGCUUUGCUUUUGCCCAUUGUACAGAGUGCAGAGCAGUAUUUAUUUUACGAGCAAAUGUGCCUCCAGACCGCUGGUGGUUGAGAUUGAAAUUCCAACUUCUUGUUGUUAGGGACCAUGCUUUCAUUUUUGUUGUUGUUCAGCUGGUUGUGGCAUUCUUGGGUAUGCUGGUGUACAAAUUUUAUGGGGAGGAAUUGAGGGAAAUGUUUGGUUAUGAGGAACACCCUUAUGGAUUUUAUGCAAUGGCGGUGUCAGCUAUUGUUUUGGUGGGAUUGCUCUAUGGGUUCUUCAUAGCCAUAAUCUGUGGGCAGAGGAUUAACGAACGGCACUACCAUGUUCUGGCGAAACAAGAACUAACAAAGGAGUAUGUCGUGGAAGAUCGAGAAGGUAAUAAGAAUCACACUGAGCUUGAUCCUUCCCACAUAACAGAGCUAAGAAUGUUGGGCCUCUACUGAGUGGAAACGUUUCCUUCCUUCGAGUUAUCUUGGUACUUAAAGAAGUUGGAUAAAGGAAAAAUGGUGAAAAAUUGAACGGCUACAAUUAAGUGGAAUAGUGUUUCUACAUGAGCGGACGGAUGUCCAGAUCGGGUUGCUUCCUGUUUAUUCAAAUUUGAUCGCCAAUUCCGUCUUGUACAGUUUUAGUGAUUAUGCUCCUACCACAUAAAUCCUAACCUUGAUGCCCCUCUCUAGCUACUAGAGUUUUAUUAUGGGCUGAAGCUGGAUGUACAUCAUACGAAGUUCAUUCUUGACCCUACAAAAGUUGAGGAUGAGUUUUUUUUUAACCGAUGGGGAAUUGAUGGAGUUGCAUUAGACAUUAAUUCCUUUAUAGAGGCAUAUGCCCACGCUUGGGAGACUCAUUUGGUGCUUAUGCCAGUCCAAUGGAUUGAAAUUGACCUUUGGGUAAUUAUAUUACAGGUUGGUCCUUUUAUAUUAUAUUCUUUAGUUUCAUCGUAAAGGAUCUAAUUUAUAUGCCCAUAAGGUGGGGAUAAAGUUAGUACACUUGAUUAGUAGUUGCGUAUUUGAAUUAGAUUAGAAUACCUAAUAGCUAGAUAUAGUUUUGUUUUGAGUUCAUUUACUUAUUGAGUGUGCGUGUGAUUAGGAGUUAUUUUUUGAGUCUAUUUAGGAAUUUUAGAAGAUCUUUAGAUAUGUAAUAUACCACCCAUCAAUUAGUGAUUAUUUGAGUAAAGAAUAUGAGUUUUUUGUUUU